GAUGAACGCUGGCGGCGUGCCUAAUACAUGCAAGUCGAGCGAACAGACGAUGAGCUUGCUCCUCUGACGUUAGCGGCGGACGGGUGAGUAACACGUGGAUAACCUACCUAUAAGACUGGGAUAACUUCGGGAAACCGGAGCUAAUACCAGAUAAUAUAUUGAACCGGAGGGUGCAAUAGUGAAAGACGGUUUUGCUGUCACUUAGAGAUGGAGCCGCGUCGGAUUAGCUAGUUGGUAAGGUAACGGCUUACCAAGGCAACGAUGCGUAGCCGACCUGAGAGGGUGAUCGGCCACACUGGAACUGAGACACGGUCCAGACUCCUACGGGAGGCAGCAGUAGGGAAUCUUCCGCAAUGGGCGAAAGCCUGACGGAGCCACGCCGCGUGAGUGAUGAAGGUCUUCGGAUCGUAAAACUCUGUUAUUAGGGAAGAACAAAUGUGUAAGUAACUAUGCACGUCUUGACGGUACCUAAUCAGAAAGCCACGGCUAACUACGUG
rnacentral:rRNA from 1 species